GCAUACGUCACAACGGCAAAAGAUGAGCAUGCGUCCCAUUAGCUAGUUGGUAAGGUAACGGCUUACCAAGGCUACGAUGGGUAGGGUCCUGAGAGGGAGACUCCCCCACACUGGUACUGAGACACGGACCAGACUCCUACGGGAGGCAGCAGUGAGGAAUAUUGGACAAUGGGCGCAAGCCUGAUCCAGCCAUGCCGCGUGCAGGAUGACGGUCCUAUGGAUUGUAAACUGCUUUAUACAGGAAGAAACACUCCGACGUGUCGGAGCUUGACGGUACUGUAAGAAUAAGGAUCGGCUAACUCCGUG
rnacentral:rRNA from 1 species